rnacentral:rRNA from 1 species
AAAACUUUCAACAACGGAUCUCUUGGUUCUGGCAUCGAUGAAGAACGCAGCGAAAUGCGAUAAGUAAUGUGAAUUGCAGAAUUCCGUGAAUCAUCGAAUCUUUGAACGCACAUUGCGCCCCUCGGUAUUCCGGGGGGCAUGCCUGUUCGAGCGUCAUUA